rnacentral:lncRNA from 1 species
GCAGAGCUGAGGUUCUUCUGUGUCCUCUUUCCUUCCAGCGACUGCUUCUGCCUAACUUCUCUUCAGGGAGGUUUCCACAGAUUACAGAAGUACCUUUUUAGUACCCAGGGCACAUUCCAUCCUGUCUCGAAGUCCCUUUCUUCAGCUUCUUCUAGAACUUCUGGUGAACAAGGGUGCUAAGAGCAAAGCACUUCUAAGAUUCAACCACUCAAACUCUGAAACAAAUGUUGGAGGGCUACUCCAUCCGCAUGGCCGCAACCCAACAUGGCAUUUACCUCAAAAGACCCAGUGACUGCUCCCAAAAGCAGUGUGGACGGAUUGUGGGAAGACACAGCAUGAUGGAGCUCCUGAAGUAAGAAGAUACAAGUUACGAUCUAAGCUGAAAGGCUGGUCAGGAAGGAAAGGGAAGACUGUGGCCAGGAAUCAAAAAACCUAGACAAAGAGUUGCAUGGUGGCAAACAGACUUAUAUGGGCCUGGGCUAUAGACCAGAGAGCUCACAAAAGGUGGUAAAGGACAGACCUUCCCAGUGCCCAGCCUUUUCCUGUGCUUCCCAUUGGCUGAAAUCGAAGGAAAGCCAGAAACUUGGCAUCAUGGGAUGUCAUCUGACAAAGGGAAGAAUGGCUCUGGCAUGAGGAUGGGGAAAAGGAAACUUCUGUCUUCUUGGAACACCUGAGACAAGAGAAUGAUGAAUGGCAGCCUGGAGAUCAGCCUGGAGCCACACCUUGCCCUUUGAGUAGCCUCUCCCAUGACAAUCAACACUUUUCUAGAGCCUGGAGGCUGCUGUCGCAGGAUCUGGAUCUCCUUGCACCAUCCUCUCUGUCUUCUUCUGAGAAUAUCAUUGAGCCAACCUACCUUCCUCCGGUGGGAAGAUAUACUUCUGCACAGCCCUUCCUGGGAGAUAUUUACCACCUGGAUUCCAUGUGAACUGAUUCCACCAGGAAUUUGUGCAGUGUCUAUAAAGCAGGUUCCAGCUCAUGAAGGACAAAGGCUGGCAGCAAGGACUAAGCUGAGAUUAUCAUGCCCUUGGGACUGACUUGAGUUCAAAAUGCUGUGUGACCUAAGCCAAGAAGUAGCAGAAGUCACAUUAGGAUCCUUUGUCACAUUCUGAAGGUGGAUCUCCACACCUCAUCAGACCAGCACACCUGCUUUAGUCUAGGCCUCUUCUAGAAGCCAGCAUGACAUUCCAGUGCACGCCACAUCACUGUACAAUACAUGUCUUGUGCACAGGUGUGCUGCUCUGUCCCUGUCCCCCAGCAAGGUAGCUGGAGGUGUCAACCCAAAUAGAUCCUGAAAUCUGUUCAGCACUCUCAUUCCAAUCAUGAAGGUAGCUCACCUUGACUGUAACAUUCAUCUCAUGUCAGACAUUGAUCUAUGCUUUUCAUUAGCAGAUUUAAUCCUCUCAGCAAUACAAUGAGGAAACUGAAACAUGAAGAGACCAAGUGGCUGUCCAAGUCCACAAGCUAGAAAAGGGAAGACAGCCUCCUAGCAGGGCCAAUGCUCUUAGCCACAUAUCUUAUGUACAUGGGGGCCAUGCCUAGUUUUAAAAAGACAGUUGUGUCUAUGUGUCUGCAGCUACAUCUUUAUACUGUGGGGAAAACGUGGGGCCUAGACUGAAGAAUGUGUGGGUCAGAAAGUGGCUCUCCCACCACCAAGGUUGUUGGUCAUCUCUGAACACUCAAAAUCAGGCCAAUGUUCUCUCUGUCCAUCUGCUGUGACUGGAAAGGGGUGUUCAGUGCAAUGAAUACAUUGGCUGUCUGCCUCUUUGCAGUGAUCAGACUGACAAGACCCAUCUUUGACCCUGUUGAGUUUGGGUCCAAUGAGUAUGGAGAGUAUAAGAGAGUGAGUUAAAUGGUUGUGUAGUGAGCAUCUGGCACUGCUAGGAGAUGCUCUAGAAAUCACUGAUCUCUAUUCAUUUACAUAUUUUACAUAAAAGUCCAGAAGAUGCAUUCUUGUAUCCUGUUACAGUUUGAAUGUGAAGUCUCCCCUCCCCAGCUCAUAUUUUGAAGUUUUGGGCUUUUUCCCCCCCACCACCAAGAUGACAGUGUUAUUCUGGAGGGUCGUACAAUGACUAUGAGGUGUCUGAAGUAGGCCCCUGGUGGCAGCCCUUUCAAGGUCUUGUUUGGCCCCUGCUCUGGGCCCAUUCUCCUCGCUCUCUUGUUCACCGUGCUGAGACAUCUCCUCCACACUUUUCCACUCCCAUGCCUUCCUCACCACCACUGGCUGAAAUCCCUUUUGAUAUUCUGAGCCAAAAUAAACUUCUC